rnacentral:rRNA from 1 species
AGGGUUUGAUUAUGGCUCAGAUUGAACGCUGGCGGUAGGCUUAACACAUGCAAGUCGAGCGAGAAAGUAUCUUCGGAUAUGAGUAGAGCGGCGGACGGGUGAGUAACGCGUAGGAAUCUACCUAGUAGAAGGGGAUAGCCCGGGGAAACUCGGAUUAAUACCGUAUACCUCCUAAGGGAGAAAGAGGGCCUCUCUUGAAGCUCUCGCUACUAGAUGAGCCUGCGUAAGAUUAGCUUGUUGGUAAGGUAAUGGCUUACCAAGGCUACGAUCUUUAGCUGGUCUGAGAGGACGAUCAGCCACAUUGGGACUGAGACACGGCCCAGACUCCUACGGGAGGCAGCAGUGGGGAAUAUUGGACAAUGGGCGCAAGCCUGAUCCAGCCAUACCGCGUGUGUGAAGAAGGCCUUCGGGUUGUAAAGCACUUUAAGCAGGGAGAAAAAGCAAUAAGUUAAUACCUUAUUGCCGUGAUGUUACCUGCAGAAUAAGCACCGGCUAAUUCCGUGCCAGCCGCCGCGGUAAUUC